GAACCGUCCAAACGUUAUUCGGAAUCAUUGGGCUUAAAGGGUGCGUAGGCGGUGUGGUCAGUUGGGUGUGAAAUCCCUCGGCUCAACCGAGGAACUGCGCCCAAUACUGCCACACUCGAGGGAGACAGAGGUAAGCGGAACUGAUGGUGGAGCGGUGAAAUGCGUUGAUAUCAUCAGGAACACCAGUGGCGAAGGCGGCUUACUGGGUCUCUUCUGACGCUGAGGCACGAAAGCUAGGGGGGGAGCGAACGGGAUUAGAUACCCCGGUAGUCCUAGCUGUAAACGAUGAGCACUUGAUCGGAGACUCCCUCCAUAGGUUUCCGGUCGUAGCGAAAGUGUUAAGUGCUCCGCCUGGGAGUAUGGUCGCAAGGCUG
rnacentral:rRNA from 1 species